rnacentral:rRNA from 1 species
AACGAACGCUGGCGGCAGGCUUAACACAUGCAAGUCGAACGAACGUAGCAAUACGUUAGUGGCGCACGGGUGAGUAACGCGUGGAUAUCUGCCUUUUGGUUCGGGAUAACCUUGGGAAACCGGGGCUAAUACCGAAUGGUUCCUACGGGAUAAAGAUUUAUCGCCAAAAGAUGAGUCCGCGUCCGAUUAGCUAGUUGGUG